rnacentral:rRNA from 2 species
GACGAACGCUGGCGGCGUGCCUAAUACAUGCAAGUCGAACGCACUCUCGUUAGAUUGAAGAAGCUUGCUUCUGAUUGAUAACAUUUGAGUGAGUGGCGGACGGGUGAGUAACACGUGGGUAACCUGCCCUAAAGUGGGGGAUAACAUUUGGAAACAGAUGCUAAUACCGCAUAAAACCUAGCACCGCAUGGUGUAAGGUUGAAAGAUGGUUUCGGCUAUCACUUUAGGAUGGACCCGCGGUGCAUUAGUUAGUUGGUGAGGUAAAGGCUCACCAAGACCGUGAUGCAUAGCCGACCUGAGAGGGUAAUCGGCCACACUGGGACUGAGACACGGUCCAGACUCCUACGGGAGGCAGCAGUAGGGAAUCUUCCACAAUGGACGAAAGUCUGAUGGAGCAACGCCGCGUGAGUGAAGAAGGUUUUCGGAUCGUAAAACUCUGUUGUUGGAGAAGAACGUAUUUGAUAGUAACUGAUCAGGUAGUGACGGUAUCCAACCAGAAAGCCACGGCUAACUACGUG